GGAGUCUGGACCGUGUCUCAGUUCCAGUGUGGCCGAUCAGCCUCUCAGCUCGGCUACCCAUCGUCGGCAUGGUGGGCCAUUACCCCGCCAUCUACCUAAUGGGACGCGAGCCCCUCUCAGUGCGGAUUGCUCCUUUGACCCCUCCGUCAUGCGGCGGUGUGGUCUCAUGCGGUAUUAGCACCUGUUUCCAAGUGUUAUCCCCCUCACUGAGGCAGGUUGCUCACGCGUUACUCACCCGUUCGCCACUAAGUACGGAAAGCACCAAUCACUCUCUUGCAUGUGUUGGUAUGCUUUUUUUGCCUACAGACUGCUUCGCAGUCUGAGACGCUGUCGGAAGCAAUUGGUGCUUUCCAUACUCCGUUCGACUUGCAUGUGUUAGGCAUGCCGCCAG
rnacentral:rRNA from 1 species